rnacentral:tRNA from 1 species
GUUUUAAUAGUUUAAAAAAAACAUUGGUCUUGUAAACCAAAAUUAAGUAAACACUUUUAAAACU